rnacentral:rRNA from 1 species
UACGUAGGUGGCAAGCGUUGUCCGGAAUUACUGGGUGUAAAGGGUGCGUAGGUGGGUGCACAAGUCAGAUGUGAAAUCCCGGGGCUUAACCCCGGAACUGCAUUUGAAACUGUGUGUCUUGAGUGGAGGAGAGGUAAGUGGAAUUCCCAGUGUAGCGGUGAAAUGCGUAGAUAUUGGGAGGAACACCAGUGGCGAAGGCGACUUACUGGACUCUAACUGACACUGAGGCACGAAAGCGUGGGGAGCAAACAGGAUUAGAUACCCUGGUAGUCCACGCUGUAAACGAUGAUUACUAGGUGUAGGGGGUAUCGACUCCCCCUGUGCCGCAGCUAACGCAAUAAGUAAUCCACCUGGGGAGUACGGCCGCAAGGUUGAA